AAUUAACAGUAAGCAGAGUGAGUGAGACAGUUGGAAUCCCCAGCAACUCUGAAUUAAGAAGCUGGAUACUGAAGAUCUUCUUUCUUCAUGAAGUUUAAGAUGCAUACUUCAUUGUCUUUAACCACAGAAACAAUUUAUGUGGAGACCUUUUCAGCUUGGAGCGAUGGGCCAUAUAUUUGCUGGCCUCUCUGCAGCAGAAUAUGUGGAGUCACAGGAUGGGUAAGUCUCAAGGUCACAGGACAAAUCAGUCUUCCGUUUCCUUUCUCUCCUUAAUGUUAUUUCUCCCAGAAGAAAAUGAAAAGCUUUAAUAAAAUAAUUACUAAUUAAAAAUUUGGGUUUUUUGUAUUUAAUUUCUAUGACCAGAAAGAGAUUAAUGCAGAUAGUAUAGGCCUAAACAAAAGAUAUUUAGAGAUAUUUUGGAAGUCUCCCUUAGACAGAAAAUUCAAUAUAACUAAAGUAUCCGGGAUGGUUGUGUUUUACAGUAAUAAGUAAUACAAUAAAAUCUGACCUUGAAUUUACACGGUGCCAUUCCUCUCCAGAUUGCAGAAUUCCCUUAUGAAAAUGAUCCCAAAUAUUAGUGAUGCGCUGGGGAGGACUUAUGCUAGGGGACUCAUGUUCAAAGUAGGUCAGGACAACUAAUGAUUAUUCAUACCAAGAUGCUAUAUGAAUUGGCAUAGGGCUCUUUCACUCCUAUGCUCCCCCGCAGCCUUUGUCUCAAUGCACUUAAUUCCUUGGUGUUCAAAAAUAUCAUAUGCUAGGCAGAUCACUCUGUUAACAAAUCUAUAAGCUGGGUGUGGUGACACACACUGUUAAUGUCAGCACCUAAGAGACAAAAGUAAAUAAGGAUCUGUGAGUGUGAGAGCAACUUGAUCUACAUAGAAAGUUCCAGAAUAGCAGGCCUACACUGUGAGACCCCGUAUAAAAAAUAAGUAUAUAAUACAUAUGACCCAUGUAAUGUUUCUAGCAAGAUAAAAUAAAUAAAUGGGAUAUGCCUAUCUGUUAUCUAAAAGAUACUCUUCAUUUGUGAUAUUAUAUUGAGACAGAAUAAAAGUAAAGAUUUUUUUCUCUGAGCCACUAAGCACAAGCAAGUUUUUGUUUUUGAAACUCUUGCUUAAUUCUCCCUGGCCUUCAUUCCAACUAGAGGAGCAUAUUAAUUACUCUCAUUCACUGUAAGUUUAGACCUAUUAAUAAAUAAUAAAUCUAAUUUUCUCUAGAGCAUGUAAUAACUUUUAAGUCUUUCCAAGAAGAAGAUUCCCAUUGUCCUCUCAUCUGGAGAAACUAAACCAUUGGCUCCGACGGAUGAUGCUACUCUAAUGAGCACAUCAUGUCUGCUGACUUGUUAGAGCUCCUCAACAAUCCCUCACAUUCAUCAGGAAGGAGAAUGCUCACCCCAGGCAUGGGUGCUAGAAACCUGGUUCCUGUGGAGAAUUGUGGAGGAAUUUUGCAUGCUAUGUACUUCUCUUCAAUUUCAUCUCACUUCUUUAGUUUGAGGUCAAGUCCUAAGUCAAUUAAAUUACUUCUUUAAAGCCUCAGAAUCCAAAGGAUUUUUUUCUCAAGAUUCAAGAGACUGCUGACCUUAGAAUAGCUAAGUAGAAAUGAAGUUGUGUUAACAAUAAUGAAUUGAGAACUGAAGAGGGGAAUGAGUGAGUUUUGUAGCUGAACAAUCAGCAUUUGAGAAGCAAAAAAAAAGAAUAGUUACUUUACAUUCUCAUUUCAUUAUGCUUUAUAAAUAUCAUUAAGCAUAGUUUUGUUACAAUGAAGUAUCUGUCAUAUUUAAGUCAACCAAGUGCCAGUAGAAAUCUGACUAUCAAAGAAUUUAAGGGAGGUAGAUAUUGUGCUUGGCUGAAAAAAAAUGGAACAGAAAGUUGGAUGCCUAGGGUUAUAUCUUAAAAAAGGGUAGAAAUAGUAAAUAUUAUCAGAGCACACUGUACAAAAAAUGGAAUGAAGUUGUUGAAGCUGUUUUAUCGUAUCAGAUCUUGACCACUGGAGUGUAUUCCCAAUGAGUAAGGAUGUAGAAUACUUUUUAUUUGCUUUGUUUAAACUUCUAAAAUAGUGUCAAAAUUCCAGGAUUCCUUGGUGAAAUGACAGCUCAAACUUUGACCAGAGGUCAAAUAUCAUGGCAGAAUCUUAAUACUUCCUUUAAAUUCCUCUUAGUGGGAAAACAUUGUGUGUGAUUUUGUAUAUGGGAGUUGCUGUUUCUACGGAUGCUAACAGGUUUAUAGUGAGGUUGUCAAAAAAGAAAUUCCUCAUUAAUCAACUGUAGCCCAUUUAUUCCUUCUGAGGAUACAUGAGACAAUACUACAUUUCUAUCACUUGGACUUAGAAUUAGCGGAAGUUGGCUCCUACUCUGAUUUUGUGCAGGAAGAAGCUGCCAGCUUCCUUCCUGUUGCUGUCACAAGGCUCUCCUCUCUCACUUCACCCUUAGGAUAUGUCUACCAAAAAGAUUUGUUUCUGACAUUUAUUUGCAUACUCAGAAAUUAACUGCAUGUUCAUAGAUAUUAUGUUUAUAAAGUAUGAAAUUCAGAAUAUACAGAAAAUUGCAAAGACUAAACAAUCUUCUUUUUAUACUUAGCUGCCAUCUAGAGUCUACCAUAUCUAUAUUCAAGUGUUGUUGCCUUCGUCUUUGGUAACUUUUGAAGAACUUUCAGUGCAUUUGCAAGCAUAAAUGUAUAUGAGAGCAUAUCCUCCUUUGUGUAUAUUUGUGUAUGUGUGAUUAUUAUUUCCAAACAUUAUACAGUUUUCAAUAAUAUAAGUGUAUAAUUACAAACAUUUAUUUUGAAGAUUUUC